UACCCUCCACCCUGUGGAACUUAAUUUAAAUUUGGGAUAGUUUCCAUCUGAAGGUCAAUUGUCGCCUUAUGUUUUCCAAAUUCAGGGGGAAAUCUACCUAUUUGAAUGGCUUCCUCUUUCAGAGAGUGGCAUCUACCCUCUUGCAAAUUUUGUAAAUUUUUAGUGACACCAUCUCGUGUUCCCAAGGCUUCUCGUGGCUUCCUUCUCCCCUGUAGUGUCCACCUUGAAUAUUUAAAACCUCUUGGUUUCCAUUUGCCCUUUGAGCCCUAUACUCUGGGACAUCAGUGGUGCGUCCGUGUGGGACCUGUCUAGGGAGGCAGCUUCAUGUAUAACUGGCACCUCUCCCAGCAAAGACUAUAACUAUGUAUCUCCUUCGGUUUUUGUGGGGAUUUGAGGGGGGCCCACAAUAACACCUUUUAUGCAUUUAAUUUCAGACUCACUUAAGGGAGAGAUGAGAAGUCAGUAGCUGGAGAUCGUAACAUCAGCUUUAUUACUAAUCAAAACUGGACUGGGGGACAUGGCUUAGCUGCGUGACAAUGAUGGGUUUCUUUGUCCUGGGCACCACGAUUAAGGAACUGCUCCGGCCAGGCAAGGCUGCAACGCCUAUACCUGGGGCAUCCAACUAGAGGCCUUCUCUCUGCUGCCAGGCUGGCUCCAGAGAGAUAGGCAGAAAGAGACCCGCCUCAUAGCCUGGGCUCCUUCUCCAAAAUGUCUAAGAGCCUAUCUGUCAUAGACAGGAGGGGGGAGGGAGGGACCAGGGGUGUCAUGCUGACUAGUGUCCUCCCUCCUGGAAGGAGAUUAUCUGGAGCCGGGAAUGAAUGGCCCCACCCGAGGUAACCUGGCUUCUGCUCUUUCCUUCCAGUUCUCACCCACAGGAGGAAACCCAGUCUUUUCAUUUUUCAACCACAGUGACCACCGCUGCUGCUGCUGCCUCUUGGCUUUGAAUUCUGCAGGCCCAGGAAUUCUACUUCUCUGGGAUGCUUCCAGUUCAGAAGAAGGAGAUUUUCCAUGAGAUCCUUUUGAAUCACUUUAAGGAAAAUAAGGUGGAGAUAACAAGUACAAUAACAAAGCCAUUUCCCUUCCUUGAGAGCCUCAGAGAUAGCUCCUUCAUCACUGAAAAAAUCUAUAGUGAUUCUCAAGAAGCCUGUAGAAACUUGGUUCCUGUAGGGAAAGUGAUAUAUCAUAUUCUCUGUCACCUUGAGAAGACGUUUGAUAAAUCACUUCUACGAGCCCUGUUCAGCAGGGUCCAUCUGAAGGAGUAUCCUGACUUAAUUCCAAUUCAUAGAAGCUUUGAAAAUGUGAUCCAAGACACAUAUUUUUCACAGGAAAGUGAUAGAGAGACAUUGAAAUUGCCCAGCUCUGAACAAGUGCCCACUGAACCCAAAGCUCUUGGAAUGAAAAAGAGAGAUCAGGAGAGUUUCACAGCCUUUCGCUAAAUGGUAGACAAGAUCCCGUGGAUAUUGGAAACUCUUCUACUUGGGACAGACAUACUAGGAAUAAAGAUAUGUGCAAAUCUAGAAUUCUUGGUAUACAAAUGAAUCUUUAAAAAAAUCUAUGCAACAUUAAAUCCAAUUGUUUACUACAUCAUUCAAAAUAAAAUAAUAAAUUUUAAAGAGUCCAGAUUAAUCAUUUUUAUUAGUUAAGGUAGGUUAUCUGUUAUAUGAAAUAGAACCUAAACAUUUGUAAUUGCUAAAAGGAGAAGUUAUUUCUUGCUUGCAGGAACAAUCCACAGUGUUCCAGACCAUGAGUGGGAGAAGGAGUAUUGAGAAGAGGAUAGGGUGCUCUGCCCCAUGUAGUCAUUCAGAGACCAAGUGUACUAGAGACUAUGCCAUCUUCAACACUUGUCUUCCAAAAUUACCCCGGGUGAGAGACAGAGUAAAAGCCAGAAGAGAUGUAUAGAGACAGGUAGGAAGAGUAAGAAGUGGAAUGACAGUGAAGGGUCAGCAAAGUUGAAAGUGAGACAAAGCAGAACUCCCCACUGUGGGUAAAAUUUUCUGUCUCUGGAGAUAGUGCUGAAGCAACAGUAACCUCUGUAGGUGAGGUGCACGUGAGAGUCAUACCAGGGUACUUUCAGGCAGGCAUAGUCCUACCUGAGUUGCUGGAUCUUCCCUGGUCAUCCCUCACCUUCUUGUUAUGUGAUUUUCUUUUGUGUUGGCUCCUUGGGCACACAUUAAGUCCUCUAAGUGAUUUCAUUUCUCUGUGCAGAGGUUAAUAGAGAUGACACUCUGGAAGUCAGACAAGCCCCAGAAGCCUCUAGCUUUGCACUGAGAAGUGGUCCAGGUAAGGAAGAUGCAAAAUGUCCAUCAAUACAAGCUUGAAAUCAGAGCUCCUGUCUCCUGAUUAAUUGAAAGUUUUCCUCUAAGAUCAGGAACAAGAUAAGGGUACUCACUCUCACCACUUCUAUUCGACAUAGUCCUGGAAUUCCUAAUUAGAGCAAUCAGACAAGAAAAAGAGAUAAAAAAAGCACUCAAAUUGGAAAGGG